ACGACAUGAGAUUACGGCUCAGUAACACGUGGAUAACCUACCCUUUGGACUGGGAUAACCUUGGGAAACUGAGGAUAAUACCGGAUAGGCAAUUAUUUCUGGAAUGAUUUUUUGUUUAAAUGUUUUUUCGCCUAAGGAUGGGUCUGCGGCCGAUUAGGUAGUUGGUUAGGUAACGGCUUACCAAGCCAUUGAUCGGUACGGGUUGUGAGAGCAAGAGCCCGGAGAUGGAACCUGAGACAAGGUUCCAGGCCCUACGGGGUGCAGCAGGCGCGAAACCUCCGCAAUGUGAGAAAUCGCGACGGGGGGAUCCCAAGUGCCAUUCUUAACGGGAUGGCUUUUCAUUAGUGUAAAGAGCUUUUGGAAUAAGGGCUGGGCAAGACCGGUGCCAGCCGCCGCGGUAACACCGGCAGCUCUAGUGGUAGCAGUUUUUAUUGGGCCUAAAGCGUCCGUAGCCGGUUUAAUAAGUCUCUGGUGAAAUCCUGUAGCUUAACUGUGGGAAUUGCUGGAGGUACUAUUAGACUUGAGACCGGGAGAGGUUAGAGGUACUCCCAGGGUAGAGGUGAAAUUCUGUAAUCCUGGGAGGACCGCCUGUUGCGAAGGCGUCUAACUGGAACGGUUCUGACGGUGAGGGACGAAAGUUAGGGGCGCGAACCGGAUUAGAUACCCGGGUAGUCCUAACUGUAAACGAUGCGGACUUGGUGUCGGGGUGGCUUUGAGCUGCUCCAGUGCCGAAGGGAAGCUGUUAAGUCCGCCGCCUGGGAAGUACGGUCGCAAGACUGAAACUUAAAGGAAUUGGCGGGGGAGCACA
rnacentral:rRNA from 1 species